AUGAGCACUGGGUGUUGUAUGGAAACCAAUUUGACAAUAAACUUCAUAUAUAAAGAAAAGAGACAUGGUUCUGCUGCUUCUGUGCUACCUGCACAGACGUGGACACUUAAACCUUUCAAGCCCUAAUUUCUUCAUCUGUUAAGCUGGACGUACCCACUGGCCCACCCAUGCCCACCUCACAGGUUGUUGUGAAUUCCAUGCCCUGUGUCUCUCCUCACCAGAGACCAGAGAUCUAGAAGGCGUGAGAACUGCCAGUGGAAAAACAAUUGACAGGCUCCUUGUGGGGGACACCUUGAUUAAGAGCCAAUUAGCUUCUUACAUGUCUCUGCUCUGGCCCUUCUAAGGCCCUCCAAACAGGAGCUGUCAUGAUGUGGUGGCCAUUGCUGAGCCAUGGAGAACCUGAGAGGGAGGGUCCUGAUACUUGGUUGGGCAUGAAUUCUAUCCCUUUCAUUUCUCCUCAUGUUGCAAGUCUAGCCUCCACAGACCUUCAAAUCCCAUGCCCUUCCCCUCAACACCCCCUGCCCCACACACAUACCAACUUUCCUCUCAUCCCUCGUUGGGGCUGAUGAGUUAAGAGUUACACAUCUGUGUCCAAAAUCUCAAGCCAAGACGUGAACUCCCAAAGCUACCUCUGCAACCCCCAUCUUGUUCACCAAUUCCUCGGGAAUCUCAAGCAAUUUCCAUUAUUGCCAGACACUGUGUUUCCUUGUUGCGUUCCACUUUCAUACAACUGGAGUUUGUAGACAAGAAAAAUACAGCUGUUACACAGCACUAACUGGGCUUUUAUGUCGCUUCACAGGCAGGAGACUGGCUGUGGAGUGCCACACACCUCCUUAUCACGGCUUGCGUGCUGGGACCUCUAUUCAUUUUAUGCAUUGUGUAUCUCGGAAUUUUCCAGGAUGUGGUGAAGUCAUGUUGCUUGCUCUCAGAAUUAUGCAAAAAGCUAUUCUUUUUCUUGAGCAAGAAAUCGUAGGCACUCCAGAACCCUUUUGACUCAGGCAGAGCUAUGGGGUGGGUUUUCCACAAAAGGCAGAAGGAAUGAAUUGACACUGACUAUGUUAACUAGCCCUCCCAAGGGGAGUGGGGGCCCCUGCUCCAAGCCAAGUAUGAGGGCCAUUCUGAGGCAGGAAGCCUUUAAAAAUUCACAGUGGAGUUCAGCUCCUUUAGCUUUGGGGGUCCAUUAUGUAUUGGCUGGGAGAGCUGUAAUCAUCAGUUGCCUAUUUUUUAAAUUAAAAUAAUUAGGCCAAUAUAAUGUUCAGGAGAAGGCCAGAAUUGACAGCCUCUGUUUGUCAGCAACAGGGUCCAGGAGGAACUAGAGCUGUGUAGGCCCUUUGGGACUAGCAUCCUGUGAACUGAGAGUCAGGGAAGAUAUUACCCCACAGAGGGAGGAGGAGCAGAGGCCUUCAUCCUGGAGGGAGCCCUUGGCCUUCUGCAAAAGGGGGAUAAGUCAUGCUUGUCCAGCCGUUGGGAGCAUCUUGGGAGGUUCAUGCUUCUCUCUGCUGCUUUCAGACCUCAGGACCCUUAUCAGUGGAUACACACACUGAUUUGCCUCCACGGGUAACCACUGUAGCUGCAAGUUCCCUGCAGGUGUUAAGGGUUUCUGCUCAUUUCCUCUCUGUAAGUAUUCAGGAUGUAAUAGAAGGAAGGAUGAAGCGGAGGAGGAGAAAUGAAGCAAAGUGCUUGAGGAGAGAGCCUUCUGGGUGAUGGCAGAGCAUGGCAGCUUCCGAAGGGAAGGCCUCCUUACUUCUGCUAGGGUCACUUUGAGCUUUCACCACUCAGGGGGUUAAUAUUUCUGCCCCCAGAGUAGGCUACAGGGAGUGGGUGCUGCUUUUGCACUGUGGGUGUCCAGCAGCUCCUCCCCCCUGCCUACCACACCCUCCAAAGUUUGGGGUGGAACCGUAGCCUGUGGGGAGUUUGUCUCACAAACUUCAUUAGGGUGCAAGCCCAGUCUCAUUACUUGAGCCUAACUUUGCCACGUUAGCCUGUAGAUCGGACGUUCAGAGACCCUACUGGGCCCCCAUCUAACUUUCCCCGUCCUCUGUUUGUAGUGGCUCCAUCUGAGUCAGACCCUUUUGGACACUGAGUGAAGAUCCUCUUGUACCUCUUCUAAUAUCUGAUUUCGUGGCUCUGUGGAAUCUUAUACACAGUGUCCCUAAAUAAGACCUCAACCUUAGCACAGAGCUCAGCCCUCUAUUAUCCAAUCCCUCUUCACACUGGGAUCCACAGUCUCAUCGAAACAUUGACACAUGACCUCCACCCCCACUAUUAGACGUGUACCCCCAAGAAAUGCCAUCUUGGACUUCAAUUUUCUAUUCUUACCCAAAGAGCCUUCCAGAGCGAACUAUCUUGUGGCCUGUUGCCUGUCCCCAGUAUCAACUAGACACUUCCUGAGAAACUGAUUCAGGGUCAGACUGUACAAAAUGAAGACAUACAAAAUGGAAAGGAGAAUUCUCUCUCCUCCAUCUUUCCAUUCCACCCCAGAGAAAAGAUGUUCAUUCUUGUUGUAAUCACACCAUAACUAUAAAUAAUAGGUUUAUUUCUUUAUCUGGAUUCACCAACUUCCAGCUGCAUCUAUUGCUCUAGGUAAUGCUUAUGACACAAAAAGUUGGGAAAAGUUGGAGCCAUUGCUCUAUCUGUACUUCUCUGCAUCGGGCACUGUCAUGACCCAGGGAGGAAAACCAAAAGCCUUCAGCCAUCCUCCACACAGGCAAAUUCUCACUGGCUGUUUUCUUCUAAGACUUCAACUUGAAUCUACUGGGGCUUCUCCAUCUGGAUCUACGCUGUCCAGUAGGAUUGUCGCUAGUCACAUGUGUGGCUAUUUAAAUUUAAAUGAAUUAAAAUUAAAUCAAAUUAAAAGUGGUCAAGAGCCACUUGUGGUUAGUGGCCACAGAAGUGAAAAGCAGAGAAAUGAAGCAGUUCCAUCCUUACAGAAAGUUCUGAUCUAUACCUGACUCUGAGCUCCCGACUCCCCUUUCCUCAUAUUUCCAUUCCUUUGUAAUAUACACAAGAAAACACUUUUUUUUUUUUUUUUUUUUUUUGGUCUAAACCUCUUCCUAGUCAAGGCUCCACUCAUCUCUGUGUAAGGAAAGUUUGUUCAAAGAUUUUCCCUACGACAAAGGCCCACCAUUCCACCUCUGAUAAGAAUUGUACCUCUCUGCUGGAAUGCUGAAACACUGGACUGAGUUCUCUUCUGCUUUCGGGACAGGGAUGGGAUGCAAGCCAGCCCCCAGGGGGCCCAGCAGGUCAAGGCCAAGGAGGAACCUGAGUGCUGGACUUAGAUGGGCAGUCUGGAAGACUCUGUACAGACACUGAUGAUCAGAGCUGAGCAAAUCGGAAUCAGGCACUUGGGCAAAGCGUGAAAGACCAUAUCUAAAGAUUAGCAGACCGAGAGAAAUAGAAGCGAACAGUGAGGUCAGUGAAUUCAAUUCUCUUAUCUGAAGAGGAGAACCCUGAACUGGUUAAACAACCGGCACAGCUGACGAUGAAAGGCCUCAAAAUCUGUGUAAUGCCGGAAUGUAGCAAACAGAUCGACUCACAAUGAAGUGCAAGCACAUUAAAGAAAGUGCGUGGUGCUGCGGGGAGGCCUCACCAAUGAAAUGAGCACGCUUCAGAAAAAGUUUACUCUAGAAUGGAAUGGUUUUAAAUAACUCCCACUUUUCUUUUGACUUUUGGCAUAAAAUGGGAAAGUCACCCUUCACAACACAGCAAGAGUUGAAACUCACGACUCCACGUGAGUGCGUGAGUGUGUUUGUGUGUGUAUGUUAACUAGGAAAAAAAAUCAAGAACUUUUGUUGCUGUUGUUAAAUACCAACAAUACUCACGUUGAAAACAAUGCAUUGGUCUACCCAGAAUGAAGGCAGUGAGGGGCACGUAGUAAGCAAUCAAUGAGUACUUGUUGAUUGAUUGAAAAUAAAUCACAAAAUAAAAAUAUAAAUUAGGA